rnacentral:rRNA from 1 species
AGGACGGACGCUGGCGGCGUGCUUAACACAUGCAAGUCGAGCGGAAAGGCCCUUCGGGGUACUCGAGCGGCGAACGGGUGAGUAACACGUGAGCAACCUGCCCUUAGCUCUGGGAUAGCUCCGGGAAACCGGAAUUAAUACCGGAUACGACCUAGGCCGACAUCGGCCAUGGUGGAAAGUUUUUCGGCUAGGGAUGGACUCGCGGCCUAUCAGCUAGUUGGUGGGGUAAAGGCCUACCAAGGCGACGACGGGUAGCCGGCCUGAGAGGGCGACCGGCCACACUGGGACUGAGACACGGCCCAGACUCCUACGGGAGGCAGCAGUGGGGAAUCUUGCGCAAUGGGCGAAAGCCUGACGCAGCGACGCCGCGUGGGGGAUGAAGGCCUUCGGGUUGUAACCCCUUUCAGCAGGGACGAAGCGAAAGUGACGGUACCUGCAGAAGAAGUGCCGGCUAACUACGUGCCAGCAGCCGC